rnacentral:lncRNA from 1 species
UGGGAUUGAAGGGUUAACUAGAAUACUAUAGUUUGUUGUGCUAUCCAUAAGACUAUAAGUGAUCUAGAGGCAAGAAAAAAAAUAUUGAAAAUUGUAUGAAGUACAAUUGAUAAAAAGUUACCUACUCUUGAACUCAUGAAUACUUGUUAUGCUAUCCACAAGAUAUUUGUGAGGAAUAGGGAUCUCAACUCCACUUAGAAACAUAAUAAUAUUUCUCAUUUUUUAUACUUGAAGAUCAUAAAAUUUAUUAAAAUAGUGAGAGACACAAUUAGACAAAAGUUCUAAUCUAGUUGUGCAUAUCAUCAUGAGUUGUUCGCUUAUAUUAUAUUCUUGUUAUUGUAGAUUAACUACAUAAAUGGCAUCCUCACUAUCACUUCGAGGCAUACUAGAUGUUAAAAAAUUGAUCAAACCAAAUUAUGUGGAUUGAUUAAGAAAUCUGAGAAUAAUUCUUACACAGAAGAAAGUCUCCUAUAUAUUGGAAUCAUCUACAUUCAAUACGAUCAAGAAAGAUGCAUCUGAGGAGGAAAGGACCAUAUAUAAGAUAUGGAAAGA